GAUGAACGCUGGCGGCGUGCUUAACACAUGCAAGUCGAACGGAAAGGCCCAAGCUUGCUUGGGUACUCGAGUGGCGAACGGGUGAGUAACACGUGGGUGAUCUGCCCUGCACUUCGGGAUAAGCCUGGGAAACUGGGUCUAAUACCGGAUAGGACGAUGGUUUGGAUGCCAUUGUGGAAAGUUUUUUCGGUGUGGGAUGAGCUCGCGGCCUAUCAGCUUGUUGGUGGGGUAAUGGCCUACCAAGGCGUCGACGGGUAGCCGGCCUGAGAGGGUGUACGGCCACAUUGGGACUGAGAUACGGCCCAGACUCCUACGGGAGGCAGCAGUGGGGAAUAUUGCACAAUGGGCGCAAGCCUGAUGCAGCGACGCCGCGUGGGGGAUGACGGCCUUCGGGUUAUAAACUCCUUUCGCUAGGGACGAAGCGUUUUUGUGACGGUACCUGGAGAAGAAGCACCGGCUAACUACGUG
rnacentral:rRNA from 1 species